UCGGGAAUUUUGGGCAAUGGGCGAAAGCCUGACCCAGCAACGCCGCGUGAGGGAUGAAGUAUUUCGGUAUGUAAACCUCGAAAGAAUGGGAAGAAUAAAUGACGGUACCAUUUAUAAGCUCCGGCUAACUACGUGCCAGCAGCCGCGGUAAUACGUAGGGAGCAAGCGUUGUUCGGAUUUACUGGGCGUAAAGGGCGCGUAGGCGGCGCGGUAAGUCACUUGUGAAAUCUCUGAGCUUAACUCAGAACGGCCAAGUGAUACUGCUGUGCUAGAGUGCGGAAGAGGCCACCGUAAUUCUUGGUGUAGCGGUGAAACGCGUAGAUAUCAAGAGGAACACCUGAGGCGAAGGCGGGUUGCUGGGCCGACACUGACGCUGAUGCGCGAAAGCCAGGGGAGCAAACG
rnacentral:rRNA from 1 species